GGGAAUGUGGCUCUGUGGUAGAGUGCUUGCCUUGCAUGCAUGAGGCCCUGGGUUCGAUUCAUCAGCACCA
rfam:Dipodomys ordii contig_4564, whole genome shotgun sequence.